UACGUAGGGUGCAAGCGUUGUCCGGAAUUAUUGGGCGUAAAGGGUAGGUAGGUGGUCUCAUUUGUCCGGGGUGAAAGCCUUGAGCUUAACUCAAGAAGUGCCUCGGAAACGGUGAGACUGGAGUCCUGGAGAGGGUCGUGGAAUUCCCGGUGUAGCGGUGAAAUGCGUAGAGAUCGGGAGGAACACCAGAGGCGAAGGCGGCGACCUGGACAGGCACUGACACUCAACUACGAAAGCGUGGGGAGCAAACAGG
rnacentral:rRNA from 1 species